UGAUCGCGGCUUUCCUCCAGACAUAGCGAAGAACCGAGUUAUAGAAGAAACAUUUCCAGGUUCUUCUUUUUCUUGGUGGUUUUCAGUUUCUGGUCAAAGGCAUGAGAGCAAAAUUGAGCAGAGUCUUUCACAUCGAUAUCUGAACAAGAACAAGGAUGCAAGAAGACCAGUCAAGUCGGCAUAAUCUUGAAACCCGAGAGGCUCGUGUUUCGCGGUAAUGAAAUGAGCAUCAAAGGCAAAGGAUAAGAUGAAACGACAGAGCCACCAUGACCUUAACAUCCAAGGAAACUUAACAAGCCUCUUCUCUCUGAUCUUCAUCACAACAACAGAAACAAUCAGCCACGAGAAAGACUGCGAAACCUCAGCGAAGACAGAAACAGAGGAAUCACACCGUGACACCACGCUGUCUCGAAACAGCAAAAGCAAGAUAAAGCAAUGAGUCCCUAAGACAGAAACAGAGCAGAGAAGAGAU